rnacentral:tRNA from 1 species
AUUUAUGUAGUUUAAUUAAAACAUUACAUUUUCAUUGUAAAAAUAAUUUUUUAAGAUUUAUAAAUA